AGUAAUGCGUGGGUAUUUACCCUCGGGUCUGGCAUAGCCCUUCGAGAGAAGGGGUAAUUCCAGAUGACGUCGCAAGACCAAAGGUCCGCCGCCCGGGGAGAAGCCCACGUGAUAUUAGGUAGUUGGCGGGGUAACGGCCCACCAAGCCUUAGAUGUCUAGCGGGUGUGAGAGCACGACCCGCGCCACUGGCACUGAGACACUGGCCAGACACCCACGGGUGGCUGCAGA
rnacentral:rRNA from 1 species